rnacentral:rRNA from 1 species
AUUGAACGCUGGCGGCAGGCCUAACACAUGCAAGUCGAGCGAGUGGCGGACGGGUGAGUAAUGUCUGGGAAACUGCCUGAUGUGGGGGGAUAACUACUUGAACCGGUAGCUAAUACCGCAUACCAUCAGAUGUUCCCCGAUGGGAUUAGCUUGUUGGUGGGGUAACGGCUCACCAAGGCGACGAUCCCUAGCUGGUCUGAGAGGAUGACCAGCCAAACUGGAACUGAGACACGGUCCAGACUCGGACGGUAGGCAGCAGGGGGGAAUAUGGCACAAGGGGGGCAAGCCUGAUGCAGCCAUGCCGCGUGUAUGAAGAAGGCCUUCGGGUUUUAAAGUACUUUCAGCUGGGAGGCGUUACCCGCAGAAGAAGCACCGGCUAACUCCGUGCCAGCCGCCGCGGUAAUAC